ensembl:lncRNA
GUCUAGACGGACAAGCCUACUCUCUGUCUCAGUCUAGACAGACAAGCCUACUCUCUGUCUCAAUCUAGACGGACAAGCCUACUCUCUGUCUCAGUCUAGACGGACAAGCCUACUCUCUGUCUCAGUCUAGACGGACAAGCCUACUCUCUGUCUCAGUCUAGACGGACAAGCCUACUCUCUGUCUCAGUCUAUACGGACAAGCCUGCUCUCUGUCUCAGUCUAGACGGACAAGCCUGCUCUCUGUCUCAGUCUACUCUCUGUCUCAGUCUAUACGGACAAGCCUACUCUCUGUCUCAGUCUACUCUCUGUCUCAGUCUACUCUCUGUUUCAGUCAACUCUCUGUCUCAGUCUAGACAGACAAGACUGCUAUCUGUCUCAGUCUUUGACGGACAAGCCUACUCUCUGUCUCAGUCUAGACGGACAAGCCUACUCUCUGUCUCAGUCUAGACGGACAAGCCUGCUGUCUGUCUCAGUCUAGACGGAAAAGCCUACUCUCUGUCUCAGUCUAGACAGACAAGCCUGCUCUCUGUCUCAGUCUAGACAGACAAGCCUACUCUCUGUCUCAGUCUAGACAGACAAGCCUACUCUCUGUCUCAGUCUAGACAGACAAUCCUGCUCUCUGUCUCAGUCUAGACAGACAAGCCUGCUCUCUGUCUCAGUCUAGACAGACAAGCCUGCUCUCUGUCUCAGUCUAGACAGACAAGCUAACUGCUUCUGGUUUCCAUGAAUAGGUCUACAUCGCCUGCUCUUUGGAGGUGGACAGUCUAAUAGACGACUGGUUUAGUUUGACCUGUGUAAUCCAUGUACAUAGAAAAGUCACAUUAUGUAGCCUAAACGUUUCGUGUAAUAUGAGACAUGUUCUAAAUGGGAUUCUUGGGAUGUCCCAACUCUGACGUCACCCCGUUGAAGUUGAUAUUUAAAAUGGUUAAGGGUUAAGGGUUAUUAAGGUGUUGAUAUAGUUCUGUCCUUGAGCUGUUGUCUAAUAAUGUUCUGUAUUAUGUCAUGGUUCAUGUUCUGUGUUGGACCCCAGGAAGAGUAGCUGCUGCUUUCUCAACAGCUAAUUGGGAAUCCUAAUAACAUACCAAAUACCAAAGGUUAUGGUUAAGGUUAGGUAAGGGUAGGGUAGGAUAGGAUAGGGGUUAAGGUUAGGGUUAGGCUUUAUGGUAUGUAUGUCCCAAGAAUCCCAACUUGCAAUUGUGACGAGUCCAUUUUCAAAGUCUAGGGAGACAUCUGUUGGUGAAGGGAGACAAGUACUAAUUUUAUGUGUCUGAAAUGAGCCCAUCCAGACAAACCAUUAGUCUUGGGGGAAACCUCAUACUUUGCAAAAUGUUUGUCCUCAUUUUUACCCCAAUGCCUACACAUUUGUACUCUUUGUCCCACUUUUAUACUGUUUUCCAAAUACAGGUGAAAUUGUGUUUCCAUUAACCACCUCACAGGCUAUGCAUGUGUUGACCACUAGAUGUCACUAGACCCCUUCAAAUCUGAACAAUAAGUCUUUGCUCAGGACCACACGUUUGUUAAUGUUGUUGCCCUCCUCCACUACAAAAUAAAUAGUAUUUGUCACAUGACCCAGAAUACAACCCAAUGAUGCCGAGUUAAACAAAAUAAUAUUAACACGCGACAAAGACAAAUAAAAUACACAAGAGUGAAGCUAAUUUGUUCUUAACUGACUUGCCUAGUUAAAUGAAGGUAAAAUAAAAAAAUAUAUGCCUUUAUUUAUCCUAUGGCUCUGACUUGGUGUACAGGGAGAAUACUGUAAGAAUGGCCCAUGUUCUGAAUUCUGUCGCUGUACAUUUCAAAAGUGUUGAACAAAUAGUUAUAUUGACUACAUCCGUCCCAGCUCACUCAUUAAGGUCUUUAUCGAAAUUACGGAUUGCCUCUUAUCCGCUCGUUGUCCCCUUAUGCCAUAGUUUGUACAUGUCAAUUGUCAAUAGAAACCACAUUUGUUUAAGCAAAUCAGCCAUAUUAGCUAUGUUAUUAUUUCCUUCAGGAAUGUAGUGAAGUAUAAGUAAAAGUCAUAAAAAAUAUAAAUAGUAAAGUAAAGUACAGAUACUCAAAAAAACGACUUAAGUAGUACUUUAAAGUAUUUUUUACUUAAGUACUUUACACCAUUGUAUGUCACCGUUAUAGUGCAAUUAAUGUAUUGUGUAGUGUUGUGUAGUGGCUUUGCUGGCAUAAAUAAAUAAAACAUACAAUUGUUUGCCUCACCAAUAUUUCCAUGCUAAAAUCGCC